GGGUGGUUAGCUCAGCUGGGAGAGCAUCUGCCUUACAAGCAGAGGGUCGGCGGUUCGAUCCCGUCA
rnacentral:tRNA from 1 species